GACGAACGCUGGCGGCGUGCUUAACACAUGCAAGUCGAACGGAAAGGCCCUGCUUUUGUGGGGUGCUCGAGUGGCGAACGGGUGAGUAACACGUGAGUAACCUGCCCUUGACUUUGGGAUAACUUCAGGAAACUGGGGCUAAUACCGGAUAGGAGCUCCUGCUGCAUGGUGGGGGUUGGAAAGUUUCGGCGGUUGGGGAUGGACUCGCGGCUUAUCAGCUUGUUGGUGGGGUAGUGGCUUACCAAGGCUUUGACGGGUAGCCGGCCUGAGAGGGUGACCGGCCACAUUGGGACUGAGAUACGGCCCAGACUCCUACGGGAGGCAGCAGUGGGGAAUAUUGCACAAUGGGCGGAAGCCUGAUGCAGCAACGCCGCGUGCGGGAUGACGGCCUUCGGGUUGUAAACCGCUUUCGCCUGUGACGAAGCGUGAGUGACGGUAAUGGGUAAAGAAGCACCGGCUAACUACGUGCCAGCAGCCGCGGUGAUACGUAGGGUGCGAGCGUUGUCCGGAUUUAUUGGGCGUAAAGGGCUCGUAGGUGGUUGAUCGCGUCGGAAGUGUAAUCUUGGGGCUUAACCCUGAGCGUGCUUUCGAUACGGGUUGACUUGAGGAAGGUAGGGGAGAAUGGAAUUCCUGGUGGAGCGGUGGAAUGCGCAGAUAUCAGGAGGAACACCAGUGGCGAAGGCGGUUCUCUGGGCCUUUCCUGACGCUGAGGAGCGAAAGCGUGGGGAGCGAACAGGCUUAGAUACCCUGGUAGUCCACGCUGUAAACGGUGGGUACUAGGUGUGGGGUCCAUUCCACGGGUUCCGUGCCGUAGCUAACGCUUUAAGUACCCCGCCUGGGGAGUACGGCCGCAAGGCUAAAACUCAAAGGAAUUGACGGGGCCCCGCACAAGCGGCGGAGCAUGCGGAUUAAUUCGAUGCAACGCGUAGAACCUUACCUGGGUUUGACAUGGGUCGGGAGUGCUCAGAGAUGGGUGUGCCUCUUUUGGGGUCGGUUCACAGGUGGUGCAUGCCUGUCGUCAGCUCGUGUCGUGAGAUGUUGGGUUAAGUCCCGCAACGAGCGCAACCCUUGUUCACUGUUGCCAGCACGUUAUGGUGGGGACUCAGUGGAGACCGCCGGGGUCAACUCGGAGGAAGGUGGGGAUGACGUCAAGUCAUCAUGCCCCUUAUGUCCAGGGCUUCACGCAUGCUACAAUGGCUGGUACAGAGAGUGGCGAGCCUGUGAGGGUGAGCGAAUCUCGGAAAGCCGGUCUCAGUUCGGAUUGGGGUCUGCAACUCGACCUCAUGAAGUCGGAGUCGCUAGUAAUCGCAGAUCAGCAACGCUGCGGUGAAUACGUUCCCGGGGCU
rnacentral:rRNA from 1 species